UUGUGAGCCAAAAAAAGGGCGUAAGGAUCAGAGUAGUUACCGUGAUCCAUUUUUGUUCUCUCUCAAAGUUUUCUAUCGUUCUCUCUCUAGAAUUUUCUAUCGUUUCAUUUUCCUCGCAAAUUAGGGUUUUUGCAAAUCUCUUUGAAAAAUCAAAUCCCAAGGUUCAGCCAUGGUUUCUGAUUCAAUCUCUGCUGCUCCGAUUCCUUCCGCCGCAAACACCAAGAACCCAGGCAAGAAGAAGAGGACCAACAGGUCUGCGAAAUUGAAGCAGUAUAAGAUUGAUGCGCGUCGCGAACAAUGGUUAUCUCAAGGUGCUGCAAAGAAUAAGGGGUGUAAGGAUGGAAUGGAUGAUGAUAUCCACCUGCCUUCGUCGCCUAUGGGUAAACGUGGAAAACAGGAAUUGGAGAAAGUGGAGACGAGGCGGAGAGGUGAAGAGGAUGGGAUCCAUCAAGACAGUGAUUCGGAAACGCCGUCGAACAGUCCUAUCAGUCCAAAUUGUAGUGUCUUAUGUGGUGGUACUGAUUCUGGGACAAAUUUCACGGGUAGCAGCAGCAGCGGUAGAAGCAGCAGUAGUAGUUCUAGCAGUGGUGGGUGUUUCUCUGGGAAUGUUACGGAAGAGGAAGAGGAUAAUAAUGAUGAAGAGGUAGAAGAAGAAGAUGAUGGAUGCUUGGAUGAUUGGGAGGCUGUGGCAGAUGCUUUAGCCGCUGAUGACAAGCACGAAACCUCUUCACACGAUGAACCCGUUGUGGAAACGGAUUUAUCACGUGAAUUGACUCGUGGUGCAAGUUUAGGAUACCCAAAUUCCAAACUAUGUAGUGCUGGGAUGGUUCCUUGGGGCUCUGGCAAUGCUAGAGCUUGGAGGGUGGAUGAUGCUCUUCGUCCGCAGACAUUGCCCAAUCUUUCAAAACAGCAUAGUAUGCCGAAUCCAGACCGGUGUUUUGGAGGAGGGGUUCCCUGGUCUCGCACCUCUGUGCCAUCCCCUUGUCCAAUUUGUUGUGAGGAUCUUGAUCUAACGGACACAAGUUUUCUUCCGUGCAAUUGUGGUUUUCGGCUUUGUCUCUUUUGCCACAAGAGGAUUCUUGAGCAGGAUGCUCGUUGUCCCGGGUGCAGGAAGCAAUAUGAGUGUGAACCUAUUGAGACAGAGGCAAGUGUGCAUGGAGGUAGCCUUACUCUUCGGUUGGCUCGAUCUGUUAGCAUGAUCGAAAGUGUUAGCAAAGCUCUUAAGGUUUAAUGUACGGACUGGAACCUAAAAUGCCUCAAAACUAUCAUUCAACAAACUGGCUUGUGGGUUGUUUUUGAACAUCCUGGGCGGUACAAAGAUACUAUGAACCAAUAUACUUUUGUAAGUAUAAAUUUGAAGACUGGUCAAUAGGGUUUUCAAGUUUUUCAAGAUGGGCUAUUUCAGAAUGGAAACAUACACAAGAAAGCUAACUUCUAGGGAGUAUAAUCGGAAUUGUCCUCCAUGUGAAUUAGGAAUAAAAUGAGAUGUAAUAACACCACAUUUUUGGCCUUGAAUUUGGGAAGUCUGAAGUCUUGGUUUGGGUAUUCUAAAUUCAAAGCCAAACCUGUAUAAGGAAAUCAAUAACAGUUUGUACAUUUUCUUGAAUUACACUAUCAUUUAGAGAUAAUUUUGUGACGUGCUUCAGCA